GACGAACGCUGGCGGCGUGCUUAACACAUGCAAGUCGAACGAUGAAGCCGGAGCUUGCUCUGGUGAAUUAGUGGCGAACGGGUGAGUAACACGUGAGUAACCUGCCCUUGACUCUGGGAUAACUGCGGGAAACUGUAGCUAAUACCGGAUACGACCCUCGGAGGCAUCUCCUGGGGGUGGAAAGAAUUUCGGUCAAGGAUGGACUCGCGGCCUAUCAGCUAGUGGGUGAGGUAAAGGCUCACCAAGGCGAAGACGGGUAGCCGGCCUGAGAGGGUGACCGGCCACACUGGGACUGAGACACGGCCCAGACUCCUACGGGAGACAGCAGUGGGGAAUAUUGCACAAUGGGCGCAAGCCUGAUGCAGCAACGCCGCGUGAGGGAUGACGGCCUUCGGGUUGUAAACCUCUUUUAGCAGGGAAGAAGCGAAAGUGACGGUACCUGCAGAAAAAGCACCGGCUAACUACGUGCCAGCAGCCGCCGUAA
rnacentral:rRNA from 1 species